GCUGAUGUUGCUGCCAUCUUGUAAAUCUUGUGGGAAAAGAGAGAUCUAAAGAAGAGGUUGGUGUAUGAAUAAGAAACACGGAAUUGGAUUGGUGAAUUUAAGAGGAAAUGGUUUGGGGAGCUAAUGGGUUAAAAUCUCCGCCAAUGGGCCUAGGAGGAAUCUGCCUUUUCAACAACUACUUCUCAAGCUAUCACACCCGACCUAUCUAUCACAGCAAAUCAACCUCCUCUCUCUUUUACUGUGAUAGAUAG
rnacentral:misc_RNA from 1 species